GAUGAACGCUGGCGGCGUGCCUAAUACAUGCAUGUCGAGCGAACAGACGAGGAGCUUGCUCCUCUGACGUUAGCGGCGGACGGGUGAGUAACACGUGGAUAACCUACCUAUAAGACUGGGAUAACUUCGGGAAACCGGAGCUAAUACCGGAUAAUAUAUUGAACCGCAUGGUUCAAUAGUGAAAGACGGUUUUGCUGUCACUUAUAGAUGGAUCCGCGCCGCAUUAGCUAGUUGGUAAGGUAACGGCUUACCAAGGCAACGAUGCGUAGCCGACCUGAGAGGGUGAUCGGCCACACUGGAACUGAGACACGGUCCAGACUCCUACGGGAGGCAGCAGUAGGGAAUCUUCCGCAAUGGGCAAAAGCUUGACGGAGCAACGCCGCGUGAGUGAUGAAGGUCUUCGGAUCGUAAAACUCUGUUAUUAGGGAAGAACAAAUGUGUAAGUAACUAUGCACGUCUUGACGGUACCUAAUCAGAAAGCCACGGCUAACUACGUG
rnacentral:rRNA from 1 species